AGCCGAAACGCCCCGAAAAAAAUUUUUCAUGGCGUCAUAUCUGGGUAACGCUAGAUAUCUGAUGAUGGCAGUCAAAA
rnacentral:hammerhead_ribozyme from 1 species